rnacentral:rRNA from 1 species
UGCGAGUGAAGAGGGAAAAGCUCAAAUUUGAAUCUGGCGGUCUUUGGGCGUCCGAAUUGUAAUUUAAAGAAGUGUUUUCCGCGGCGAGCCCUGGACCAGUCCCCUGGAAUGGAGCAUCCUAAAAGGUGAAAAUCCCGUCUUUGGCAUGGACCACUCGUGCUUUGUGAUACGCUCUCUCCGAGACUAGUUGUUUGGGAAUGCGCCUCACAAUGGGUGGGAAAUUCCAUCUAAAGCUAAAUACAGGGGAAAGACCGAUAGCGAACAAGUACCGUGAGGGAAAGAUGUGAAGCACUUUUUAAAGAGAGUUAAACAGUACGUGAAAUUGUUGAAAGGGAAACGCUUGAAGUCAGUCGCGUCUUCAAAAUUCUCUAGCUUGCCUCGUGUUGUUGUAUUUCUCGGGUGACGGCGCCACUUCUCUUUUGUACAUCAAAGAGAGAGAAGGGAAGGGUGCCCCCCUGCGGUGUGUGCUCUUAUCUUCUGUCGAGUGCGGGGAUGAGGAUUGAGGACCUCCCCUGUUGCCUCUCGUUGUCCCGCCUUCCGUGCUUGCUAAGCUGCUUAAGAGGUUUUCAGCGACGCCUCUUGACGACCCGACUUGGGACUCUGACAUGCGAGCCUGUCUUGGGGUCGAGUGUCCAUAUGCAUAAUGCAUGUGAGUCAC